AGCUCAGCUGGAGUGCAAGCUGGGAAUGCAGUCAAGGCUUCAUCCACCCCAGGCAGCUUUCCUGAGCCUUGGGAGACUGGCUCUCAAUGAAUCCAAGCUGCUUUUAUCCUUUGCUGCCUAUCUCAUUGAAGAAAAGAAACAAACAUACUGCUAAUAAAAAGAAUGUCUCCUUGUGGCUACUGAAACCCACAUGUCAACUGCUAUAGCUGUCAGCCUACCAGGAAUAACCCCUGCUUCAAACCCCAAGAAGCCCAUUUACUAUUUUAAUGACAAGAACUUGCUAAUGUGGGCAUAUGAACUGUAUCCUUGGAAAGGAAUGCCGUCCAUACCAGGAAGUCCUUGAGAAGGCUUGAGUUCUUGCCAUAACUAAAAAUCCGAUGAUGCAUUACCAAUGACUUCAUCCCCAAAUGAAAGCUAGCAGCCUGCUUCCGUAAUCCUCAUGGAGAGUUAUACCAAGAAAAGACAACUUUGGAAAAACAUGCAAGAGAGAGGCUUCAUUUUCUCUUUUGAAUAAAAGAAAGAAACCAGUCUAUGUGACUACGGAGGAGGCACCAUGCAGGCCCUGGUGUGGGGGCCUGUGUUUCUCCUACAAUGCUGACAGCUAGGGAUUUACCAGAGACUUAAAAAAUGAAAAAACUGCUAAUGGUAUAUAUAUAUAUUUUUUGGUGGGGCUUGUGAAUGAGAAAUAUGGAAACGAUUGGUCUCCCCCACAUUAGGCUUUUGCAUCCCAGCAGUUCUGACACUUCAGACUUCAUUGCACAGCCUAGUUUCCCUUUAGAAGAAGGGAACGGUCCCAUUCCAGUUGAUGGUGGCCUCGCUCCACUUGGUUCUGAUUGCCAUCUCCACUGGUGAAAACCGUCGUCUUGGUCCAUGUUUCUCUUCCUGUUGGUCUCUUUCCCAGUGAUGGGAGUGAGUAUCUGAAGAAGGAAUAGCCAGCAUUUAGACCCAAGCCUAUGAACACCAUUCCAGAGGAAACCACUAAAGAAGGACAGAAGGGUGGGUGGGCAGGAGUCAGGCUUGGAAAAUUGUGCUCCUACAACUGGUUAAGCAGAUGGGGAUUCAAGCAGGUAGUGUGUUGAAAUGCCCCAUACAGAAUGAGUCAGUGGUAGCCUGGGUUGUUGUGCAUAUUAGGACGUAGUAUGUGUGUUGAAACGCCCCAUACAGAAUGAGUCAGUGGUAACCUGGGUUGUUGUGCAUAACUGUUGAUAAGCUAUGUAAUACACCUUCCCGUACCAUGAUGUGACACCUAGAACCAGGUAUAGGUUACUAAAUAUUGUCAGGAAAAAAAAAAAAAGAGGCCAGGCAUGGUGGCUCACGCCUAUGGUCCCAGUACUUUGGGGGGCUGAGGCAGGUGGAUCAUCUGAGGUCGGGAGUUCGAGACCAGCCUGGCCAGCAUGGUGAAACCCUGUCUCUACUAAAAAUACAGAAAAUUAGCUGUGUGUGGUGGCGCGCGCCUGUAAUCCCAGCAGGAGGCUGAAGCACAAGAAUCACUUGAACCUGGGAGGUGGAAUUUGCAGUAAGCCAGGAUCACGCCACUGCACUCCAGCCUGGGCGACAGAGUGAGACUCCAUCUC
rnacentral:lncRNA from 1 species